CUCAAGGCGGAGUGUCCCUCAGCCUGGAUUGCGAGAGGGUGCAGGCCAGGCUGAGGGACCCCAUCGGUGUACA
rnacentral:pre_miRNA from 1 species